AUUUAAUUGCGCUGUGUUUUAGGGUUAAUGGAAUUUUUCCUUGCACUGCUGUGCUUUAUAUUUCUAUGCUUCUGUUAAAAGAUUAACAAAUGCGGAAGGGUAAAUAAGUAUUUAAGGUUGUCUUUUAACCUGCAUGACGGUUCAUUUCUCCUUGCUUGGAUUCAGAUCCUCUUCACAUUGAGGUGAAAUGGCAGAAGUCACCGUGAGCAGUUUGACUGCAGACACUUCAUCAUCUGGGCAGACUAGAAAUGGCCACGUCUUCCAAAGGAUGGAGCUGCGAAACAGAGGACAGCGGAGAAGAGAGCCGGAGGAAACGAGACACGCUCGCCGUCCCGACGGACAGAAGUCACUACGAGACGCCCGUUCAGCUGAGCAUCUCAGGUCAGAGCGUGUGAUGCAUCUGAGCGUUGGUUUGGAUCUGUGCGGUGCGGUUCAGACGGGAUGUGCGUGGGUGGCUCAGAUGAGAUUCUCUUUGAGAGUACUUCAAAAAUCUAAAAAAAUCAUUGUGAUUGUUGCCCAAGGUGUAGACGGAUCCCGGUAG
rnacentral:lncRNA from 12 species